UUAUAUUCUGUAGCAAGGUUAACCGUAUAGGGGAGCCGGAGGGAAACCGAGUCUUAACCGGGCGUUAAGUUGCAGGGUAUAGACCCGAAACCCGGUGAUCUAGCCAUGGGCAGGUUGAAGGUUGGGUAACACUAACUGGAGGACCGAACCGACUAAUGUUGAAAAAUUAGCGGAUGACCUGUGGCUGGGGGUGAAAGGCCAAUCAAACCGGGAGAUAGCUGGUUCUCCCCGAAAGCUAUUUAGGUAGCGCCUCGUGAAUUCAUCUCCGGGGGUAGAGCACUGUUUCGGCUAGGGGGCCAUCCCGGCUUACCAACCCGAUGCAAACUGCGAAUACCGGAGAAUGUUAUCACGGGAGACACACGGCGGGUGCUAACGUCCGUCGUGAAGAGGGAAACAACCCAGACCGCCAGCUAAGGUCCCAAAGUCAUGGUUAAGUGGGAAACGAUGUGGGAAGGCCCAGACAGCCAGGAUGUUGGCUUAGAAGCAGCCAUCAUUUAAAGAAAGCGUAAUAGCUCACUGGUCGAGUCGGCCUGCGCGGAAGAUGUAACGGGGCUAAACCAUG
rnacentral:rRNA from 2 species